AGUUGGGGUCACUUCGGAGACUUCACUGGCCAUAACCCCUGUGUCCUCCACACUUCCAUCAACAGGUGCUGGCAAUUCAUCAGGUCCCACUCCAACCACAGAUUCUGAAGCUGCCACGCCAUCAUACACACCAUCAGGUCAAGUACUGUCAUUAACUACCACAGAGCCCACUGUGCUUCCCCCAACUCCUCCUCCA